GACGAACCGUGCGAACGUUGUUCGGAAUCACUGGGCUUAAAGGGCGCGUAGGCGGGCGGCCGCGUCCGGGGUGAAAUCCCACGGCUCAACCGUGGAACGGCCUCGGAUACGGGCGGCCUCGAGGGGGGUAGGGGCAUCUGGAACUGUGAGUGGAGCGGUGAAAUGCGUUAUAUUCACAGGAACGUCCGGUGGCGAAGGCGAGGUGC
rnacentral:rRNA from 1 species